AGCAAUAUUUCACAUCCUUUUGCCGGCCAUCAAACAGAUGCACAGGCAGAUGGAGGGAAAUUAGUGCAAAAUAGGCAAGGAAGAAAUGAGAGAAAGAGAGAGAGAUGAAAGGAGCUAAAAUUUUCAAUGGCUGGUUAAGAAGCAGGUUAACACAGAGUAAUGAACGAGCCCAAAGCACGGACGACUGGGUGACAGCAGCCAAGUUUACCUCAGUGAGAAGUGUUGGGAAAGACGGGAUUGGGAUGAUGGUUUCCGAUGUGAGCAUGUGAUGCUGCAUUUUCAUAAUCAUCACUUGAAAGGAGGUCCAGACUGAAUACUAAAGCUGUUCCUGGCGUUUUUCUGGUCUGAGAGAGAGACAUCGAUCUCACUUUAGAGGCACAGACACAACGCUGGAUGUGAGGGAUGUGGGUGCUGCUGCAGAGAGAUGAUGCCUAUUCUUCAAAUCCUGCACACUUCACACACUCGAGCAGUCGUGAGUGCACACUGCUACUCUCUGUAGG